UACGGAGGGGGCUAGCGUUGUUCGGAAUUACUGGGCGUAAAGCGCACGUAGGCGGCUUUGCAAGUUAGAGGUGAAAGCCCGGGGCUCAACUCCGGAAUUGCCUUUAAAACUGCAUCGCUAGAAUUGUGGAGAGGUAAGUGGAAUUCCGAGUGUAGAGGUGAAAUUCGUAGAUAUUCGGAAGAACACCAGUGGCGAAGGCGACUUACUGGACACAUAUUGACGCUGGGGUGCGAAAGCGUGGGGAGCAAACAGG
rnacentral:rRNA from 1 species